UACGUAGGGGGCUAGCGUUGUCCGGAAUCAUUGGGCGUAAAGCGCGCGUAGGCGGCCCGGUAAGUCCGCUGUAAAAGUCAAAGGCUCAACCUUUGAAUGCCGGUGGAUACUGUCGGGCUAGAGUCCGGAAGAGGCGAGUGGAAUUCCUGGUGUAGCGGUGGAAUGCGCAGAUAUCAGGAGGAACACCAACGGCGAAGGCAGCUCGCUAGGACGGUACUGACGCUGAGGCGCGAAAGCUAGGGGAGCGAACAGG
rnacentral:rRNA from 1 species